AAUAACGUUUCUUCACAUCUUCAAUUACAUCGACAAAAACAUUCAUGUCUUGAGGAAACACAACCAAAUCCCCUGCCACAAAUUCUAAGGCUUCUCCUUCUUUGUGAUGGUCUUCUACUUUCACUUUCAAUUUCCCCUCGACGAAGUACAUUGUUUCUGUCUUCUUAAAUUUCCAUGGAAAUUUGCGAGGCAUGCUUUCCCAUCUGCUUAAGUUUGAUCUCACAGUUAGUUAGUCAACCAUACAUGUACAUAUGACUCAUGACUUCAAAUGCAACUUAUUUUAAGGUUGAUCAGUGUUUCAGUUUCUUUUCCUAAACU
rnacentral:sRNA from 1 species